rnacentral:misc_RNA from 1 species
AGACAAGAAAGUCUCUGUCCCACAUGCAAAAGACUGCUUGUUUGAGCUCUCUUUGAAAACCAGACUACAGGAAUGGCUGUUGGAAAGAGUUGUCGAAGGAUGUAAAAUCUCAGAACAUGACGAGCAAGGUCAAGGAGUGAUCCAUUUGUGUGCUAUCCUAGGCUACACUUGGGCUGUAUAUCCGUUUUCCUGGUCCGGUUUG